rnacentral:rRNA from 1 species
UACGGAGGAUGCAAGCGUUAUCCGGAUUCAUUGGGUUUAAAGGGUGCGCAGGCGGAAUGAUAAGUCAGUGGUGAAAUCCUACGGCUCAACUGUAGAACUGCCAUUGAUACUGUUGUUCUUGAGUACACUUGGAGUGGGCGGAAUGUGUCAUGUAGCGGUGAAAUGCUUAGAUAUGACACAGAACACCGAUCGCGAAGGCAGCUCACUAAGUUGUAACUGACGCUCAGGCACGAAAGCGUGGGGAUCAAACAGG